UCUUGCAUUGCUCUAGAGUAAUACCUGAGAUUUGGUAAUUUAUAAAGAAAGGAAGUUUAAUUGCCUCACAGUUUUGGAGGCUUUAUAGGAAGCAUGGUGCUGAUAUCUGCUUGACUUCUGAAGCCUUAGGGAGCUUUCAAUCAUGGCGGAAGGUGAAGUGGGAGCAGGCAUACCACAUGGUGUGAGCAGGAGCAACAGAAAGUGGGAGGGAAGUGCCACACACUUUUAAAUGAUCAGAUCUUAAAAGAACUCACUUACUAUUGCAAAGACAAUACCAAGCCAUGAGAGAUACGCCCACAUGAUUCAAACACCUCCCAUCAGACCCCACCUCCAGCAUUGGGGAUUGUAUUGCAACACAAGAUUAGUGCAGGGACAGAUAUCCAAGCUGUAUCAUAGAUAUAUGAGAGUCCUGUGAUGGUUUCUGUGAUGGUUCAUUUUACCUGUCAGUAUUAUUCUAGGUGUGUCUUUGAGGGUGUUUCUGGAAAGGAUUUGCAUUUGAAUCAAUAGAAUGAGUAGAAGACUGGCAGACAUCAUCCAAUUCACUGAGGGCCUGAUAGAACAAAAAUGCAAAGGAAGAGAGAAUUUGCUCUCUCUGCUUGAGUUGGGACAUUUAUCUCUUCUUGACCUCAGACAUUGGUGUUCCUGGUUCUCAGGCCUUCAGACCUAGAUGGGAAUUGUACCAGCUUUCCUUGGCCUCCAGUUUACAGACAGAUCCGUUAUGCCUAAUACUCAAGAACAUAUUCAGGUUUCUUACAGGAAAACUCAGCUUUGUUCAAACUUUUCCUAACAUGUUUGGAUACAACUGUGCAAUGUAUAAAGCAAGACAUUCAUUGAAACCGUAGAUAGAAUGCAGCAUUCAGGAUGCCAUCUUGGAAGUAGAGAGCUGGCCCUCACCAGAUACCAGACUGGCUGGCACCUUGAUCUUGAACUUCCCAGCUUCCAGAACUGUGAGAUAUGUUUCUUUAUAAAUUAUCUAGUCUGUGGUAUUCUGUCAUAGAUGCAAAAGCAGACUAAGCAGUAUCUGUACAACCAAUGUUAAAUUAUAAGGUUAUUGGGGUUUUCCCAGAAUUCUUAGGAACAAUCCCAAAUCAUAAAGUUAAUAGAAGUAUACAGAGUGAUCCCUUUUCCAGAGUAUAGAAAAUAUAUUAGCAGGAGCUUUGACUUUUACCGACACAAGCUUAAGUAACAUUAAUUGAUUGACUGUAAAAUAAUAAUGCACCAAACUCAGUGCUUUGUUCAAAAUUAUCUGAGAAUAUGAUUGUUAAAAUAUUGCACAGCACACUUAAAAGUUAUUUCUGGUAAUAAGAAAAAUGUGAAGAAUCCUCUUUAUGUUUUGUUCGUUGACUAAAAGAAAUGAUGUUAGUUCAUUAUUUACUAUUUCUCAUGGCCUAUUUUUACUUUUAAGGCCUUUUUUGGUGUUAUAAUUUAACGUGUCAUUAUGUAUAUCACUGAAAAUAAUAAACUGCCAUACACACUACUGCAUUUUUCGACAAUACUAUAAGCAUAAAACUGUUUAAGAAAUUAGUUUGUGCUCAUGAGUUUCUAACUCAAUUAUAGGACAUGCUACAUGGUAGGAAAUGUGUUUGAAAAUACAGUAAACCUUUGUCUCUACUUUUUAAGGAUUAUUAGGAAUGCCAUGCCAACAGCUUUCUUCUGUGUGAUUACAUGAGCCUAUUGUUAAUAGACAAUUAUAAACUACUUCACUAUGAAUUUUAAAUGAUAAUGGUAGUUUUUACUUCUCAAUAACUAAAACUAAAAUUUCUUCAUUUUCAGAAAUCAAUACCAAGGUAACUUGACUGAAAAAAGCACCCAUUUAUUAACACUUGGGUAAUGUCCAAAACAGUUCCACAAUUGAUUUGCCAGCAAUGACUUCCCAAAGUAAUCUGAUUGAAUUGAAAGAGAAAAGAAUUAAAAUGAAUGAAGGAAGAGGUGAACUAUCUGUGCUUAAUCUCCAGUUUCAUCAGAAAUCGAUUAACUAGCUGACUUUGGGUCCAAAAGAAUUAAUUAUACUCAGUCUUUAGUAUAAUUAACAACACUAUGGCCAUCUCCCAAAAUAUUCAUUAAACAGUCAGGAACAAUAUGAAAUUCAAAUUAAAAUUGGAAAAGAGAUUAAAUAGAAGUAGUCAUCUCUAAAAAGAAUCAUGCUACAUCUGAGAUGAAAUCAUUUGAGCAAUACAAAAUAUGGAAAUACAUUUUGUGUUACAUUUAAUUAUCAUUAAUUCCAGCACUGCAAGCUGGCAGCUAUUUUAGGCUCAUUACAACGACUAAAAUGGGCUAGAAUGUUAAUAUGAAUCUAUCCUCAUUGGAAUAAUGGGAAUAUGUGAAUAUGCUUCAAAGUUAAAGAAAGUUUAAGAGUCAAGUUGAGUUUCAGUUAGUUUCUUAAAUUUUUAAUUAGGGAUACACAUUAUACAUAAACUGCUGAUAAUAUAUUGAUAACAAUACAAUAAACAAAAAAAGUCCAGUGACAUUUUCUUUCUAAUGAAAUUUUAAAAUAUAUACCCUAUUUUGUGGUUUCUUAAAAGCAAUUUUUGUUUUUGUGUUUUAGUGAAUUUAAACACAAAGUUUAAACACACUAUUUAAACACAAAAUUUAAACACAUAGUGUUUACUGACUAAUCACUAAAACUUAACACAGUGUUUAGUGACUAAUCACUAAACAUAGUGUUUAGUGACUAUGAGUCAUAGUAUGAAAUGCCUCAUAGGAGGGAAUGCCUAUUGUUUUGUUUGAAGUAAGUAGCACCCAAACUUGUGGGGAUAUACUGUUAGGAUAUCUUAUAAAACUACAAGUUUUUAUUAUAUUUGGGACUUCCUGUUCCUGGUUUUUCUAUUUGUCUGGCACACUAUUUCUUCAGAUGAUUAUUUAAAUAGAAGGAUUUGAGGCCUGCAUAUACACGACGUCAGAUGUACAUUAAGUACCAGGAUAUUUCAUUUAUAGCCAGAGCUCAUUAAAAUAGUUUGUAGUUAAAAUGAAAAAUUUUGAUGUGCAAAAAAAAUACUAGUUUAACAUAUUUUGAAAAUUGAUACAUGCUUAACUCUGUUACCGGGGAUUGGGUUUUACAUGUUGAAGGUGUUAGUAUGGUACUGACUAUUCAAUUCAUUAUGGGGAUGUGUUGUAAUAAUUUUUUAAUAGAGCAAAAAUUUUAAAAUGUCCUUAUUUCACUUUCACAAAAAAUUAAACCAACCUCUUCUUAAAG
rnacentral:tRNA from 10 species